AGUCGAACGGUAACAGGAAGCAGCUUGCUGCUUCGCUGACGAGUGGCGGACGGGUGAGUAAUGUCUGGGAAACUGCCUGAUGGAGGGGGAUAACUACUGGAAACGGUAGCUAAUACCGCAUAACGUCGCAAGACCAAAGAGGGGGACCUUCGGGCCUCUUGCCAUCGGAUGUGCCCAGAUGGGAUUAGCUAGAUAGGUGGGGUAACGGCUCACCUAGGCGACGAUCCCUAGCUGGUCUGAGAGGAUGACCAGCCACACUGGUACUGAGACACGGUCCAGACUCCUACAGGAGGCAGCAGUGGGGAAUAUUGCACAAUGGGCGCAAGCCUGAUGCAGCCAUGCCGCGUGUAUGAAGAAGGCCUUCGGGUUGUAAAGUACUCUCAGCGGGGAGGAAGGCGACAGGGUUAAUAACCCUGUCGAUUGACGUUACCCGCAGAAGAAGCACCGGCUAACUCCGUGCCAGCAGCCGCGGUAAUACGGAGGGUGCAAGCGUUAAUCGGAAUUACUGGGCGUAAAGCGCACGCAGGCGGUCUGUCAAGUCGGAUGUGAAAUCCCCGGGCUCAACCUGGGAACUGCAUUCGAAACUGGCAGGCUAGAGUCUUGUAGAGGGGGGUAGAAUUCCAGGUGUAGCGGUGAAAUGCGUAGAGAUCUGGAGGAAUACCGGUGGCGAAGGCGGCCCCCUGGACAAGGACUGACGCUCAGGUGCGAAA
rnacentral:rRNA from 1 species